UACGAAGGGUGCAAACGUUAUUCGGAAUCACUGGGCGUAAAGGGUGCGUAGACGGUCUGUUAAGUCUGUUGUUAAAGGCUCUGGCCUAACCGGAGUAUUGCGAUGAAAACUGGCAUGCUGGAGGGUGAGAGAGAGAAGUGGAAUUCCUGGAGUAGCGGUGAAAUGCGUAGAUAUCAGGAGGAACACCAAUGGCGAAGGCAGCUUCUUGGCUCAUUCCUGACGUUGAGGCACGAAAGCGUGGGGAGCAAACAGG
rnacentral:rRNA from 1 species